CCUACGGGUGGCAGCAGUGGGGAAUAUUGGACAAUGGGGGCAACCCUGAUCCAGCCAUGCCGCGUGUGUGAAGAAGGCCCUCGGGUUGUAAAGCACUUUCAGUGAGGAAGAACGCCUGGUGGUUAAUACCCAUCAGGAAAGACAUCACUCACAGAAGAAGCACCGGCUAACUCCGUGCCAGCAGCCGCGGAAAUACGGAGGGUGCGAGCGUUAAUCGGAAUUACUGGGCGUAAAGCGCGCGUAGGUGGCUUGAUAAGCCGGUUGUGAAAGCCCCGGGCUCAACCUGGGAACGGCAUCCGGAACUGUCAAGCUAGAGUGCAGGAGAGGAAGGUAGAAUUCCCGGUGUAGCGGUGAAAUGCGUAGAGAUCGGGAGGAAUACCAGUGGCGAAGGCGGCCUUCUGGACUGACACUGACACUGAGGUGCGAAAGCGUGGGUAGCAAACAGGAUUAGAUACCCUUGUAGUC
rnacentral:rRNA from 1 species